rnacentral:rRNA from 1 species
AGGAUGAACGCUGGCGGCGUGCUUAACACAUGCAAGUCGAACGAUGAAGGCUGGAGCUUGCUCUGGCUGGAUUAGUGGCGAACGGGUGAGUAACACGUGAGUAACCUGCCCCAGACUCUGGGAUAAGCGCUGGAAACGGCGUCUAAUACCGGAUACGAGCUUCCACCGCAUGGUGAGGAGCUGGAAAGAAUUUCGGUCUGGGAUGGACUCGCGGCCUAUCAGCUUGUUGGUGAGGUAAGGGCUCACCAAGGCGACGACGGGUAGCCGGCCUGAGAGGGUGACCGGCCACACUGGGACUGAGACACGGCCCAGACUCCUACGGGAGCAGCAGUGGGGAAUAUUGCACAAUGGGCGCAAGCCUGAUGCAGC